CAAAAAGCAAAUCAAGCUAAUAUAAACACAACUUUUACUCAACCCUCACCACCCUUUUUCUUUUCUUCUGUACCCUAACUGCAAUAAAACUUGUCAAAGUUAAAAAAUAACACCAGGGACCUGCAAGCCCAAAUGCUAAUUGAUCGCAUUAUCUAAAACCAAUUUUCACAAUUUCUAAAAACAAUUAUCACCCAUGUUGUACAAGUAGUAACUAAUACGACAAGGGACCUGCGAGUCCAUCCACAAUCUGGGCUUGAUAUGAUUCGCACUAUCUAAAACACAUCUUCACAUUUUCUAUGAUUGAUAUUCGC